CUAAGCAAGGAGAUGGUCACAAAUCAUUCACUAGAAGGGUUGAGGAUCAGUACAAGAAAGCGCUAAAAGAAGAGCCUUCCGUGUUUGAUUAUGAUGGUAUUUAUGAUGAUAUGAAAUCAAAAAUGGUUCAGCCGAAAGCCAAAGAUAGACAGCAACGCCAGGGGUAAAGUUUGGAUGAUUCCCACAAAGGAAGAUCUUGAGCGCUUCAGCUUUUGAGUAUGCACAUCUUACCCUCUCUCCUACCCUAUUGGCGGGUCCUUAUGAAUGGCUUCGUUAUAAAGAGGCGUAUGAUUCAACGCUUCAAAUCGGCUCAGCUAUUAGGAAAUGUGGAGUUAAUCCCGUAUUUCCAGCCAAGUAGAUUGUGCUAUCAAGAUACUCAACCUAGAGAUUAAGUUGGAUUCCAUAGUUUGUAUAAUAAAAUAUCGUAAAGAGCUGGAGAAAUAUAUUUAGUUACUUUGGUACUAAGAAUUUGAUUUUUAAUCAUGU